rnacentral:misc_RNA from 1 species
AAGUCGUAACAAGGUUUCCGUAGGUGAACCUGCGGAAGGAUCAUUAAAAGGAUGCCGGAAACGGUAGACCCCACCCGUGUUUACAUACUCUUGUUGCUUUGGCAGGCCGUGGCCUCCACCGUGGGUUCUGCCCGCGUGUGCCUGCCAGAGGACUAAACUCUGAAUGUUAGUGAUGUCUGAGUACUAUAUAAUAGUUAAAACUUUCAACAACGGAUCUCUUGGUUCUG